UACGUAGGGUCCGAGCGUUGUCCGGAAUUAUUGGGCGUAAAGGUCUCGUAGGCGGCCAACUAAGUCGGAUGUGAAAUCCCCAGGCUCAACUUGGGAACUGCAUCCGAUACUGGAUGGCUUGAAUUCGGGAGAGGGAUGCAGAAUUCCAGGUGUAGCGGUGAAAUGCGUAGAUAUCUGGAGGAAUACCGGUGGCGAAGGCGGGUCUCUGGGCCGUAACUGACGCUGAGGAGCGAAAGCGUGGGGAGCGAACAGG
rnacentral:rRNA from 1 species